UGACACAGGGAGCGGAGGGGCAGCUUGGUCAUUCCACGUGGGAAGACUCGCCCGCCUCGCCUCGCCUCGCUCUCGCGCUUCGAAUCCCCACGCGACGCGACGCGCCCAACCGCGCCCUCGCCUCGCCGCCAUGGACGCCCCCGCGUUACCUCCUCCCCCUCGCCUGGUCGACUAUAUCUCCAGCCUCCAAGGCCUGGUGCGCCUGGGGGACCUCGCCGAUCUCGAGCCGGACAAGUCCGUGGUAGUUGUUGUCUCCGGCUGUUACCCGCUCGAGGACGCACCUAUACUGUUCGAUGAUUUGUCUGCGAGGGAGACCUGGUGCGUGAUCGGGAUGCCGGAGCUUUGUAUCCUCCGGGCGCGUGCCAUCAGUCUUUUGCAGCGGCGGGAAGAUCUCAGAGCUCUCGUCCGGGACAUGGGACAUGACUUGCUGGUCUGCGGGACGGAGUCAGGCAAGGUCGAGGGAGUUCUCGCGAGGGCACUGAAGCUUCCAGCAGGCAUGGAUGCACCGCCCGGGAUCAGCCUCGAUCUGGUGGGAGACGCUGACGAGGGACGGCGCUUCCUCCGCCGCGACAUUGCCCGCGCGCGUCUGCAGCUCGCCGCGCUCGCGGGCCACACCGAGCGGCACAUCCUGAGGCGGCUCGGGAGGGAGCUCGCACUGCGGGCGAGCACCGGAGUCGUGGCUCCGCAGGAGCUGUGGCCAGACAUCCAGGAGCAGAGGCUUCGCCACGCGCCACCUGACUCCACAUCUGAUGCGGCGUUGUAUGCAGAGGCUGCAGAGGAAGCUGCUUGGGUCGCUCCUGCGGGCACUCCUCCCGACAGCGAUGCCUAGGCGACGCCGGUGACAGGACGGUGUCCGCCAUCUCUGACUAAACUCCGGCCUUAUAACCACUGCGAAUUGAGUACAUAAACGUUGCGUUCCUUACUUACAUUGAGCUGCUUACAUCGUUACUCUAGUUAGAAACAGGUAGCCUUUUUUGGUUCAGGUGCACAUGACCCAAAUGGUGAACUUGUGGAUUUGAGCAAUUUUUUGUUCACCAAAUAGGUCAUGUGGUCCUGAUAUGUUUCCGAUGAUGAUCGAUCAGCACUGAAGUUUGUUUUUUGUUCUUGCUAUCCCUUUUUGAAAAUGAUUGAAUAUGUGCCUUGCCUGGCUUUUGAACUUUUGAUAGAUAAUAUGUUGAUGCUCUUGGAGCUAGGCUUGAAGGGACAGAAGCACUUGACAUCGGAGUUGCAUUUUGUGAUGAUAUUGCUAUACAUAUGAUUUUUGUUUCUGAUGUUCUAGUUUAGUUUCAUCAUUGCUACAGGUACUGAUAUUUUUGAUAUUGCUAUAUGGGUGUUGCUGAAUCAGUCUUAAACUCAAAAUAAGCUCUAUAUGGGGAUUUUGUUGCUGAACAGUCAUAAGGCAUGAUGGAUAAACAAUUUUUUCCUGCUUAGCAGCUUGUGGUACGGCUAUCUCAUAAGUCCUAUCUUAAGCUAGAGAGUUCCUCAUUUAGCUGUUGCGUAGAUUCUGCUGGUUGAUUUUAAUUAGCUGUGCUUUGCAAGAUACAUGCGUAUCAGCAGGUUUGAGCUGAUCAGCUGAAACAAAAGGCCAGUUUCUUUAUGCUCCAAUUUGCUCCAGGAUAUCAACGGCACUAAUAUUUUUGCACGACAUAAUUCUCUCGUAAAGUUAAAGAAAGAGUUACAUAGGAUUUUGAUUAGAACUGGCUUUGUUUUGACUUAGAUGACAAUGAGUUUACUGUUCUGAUUUCUAAACCAUGAUGAGUAGAAAUUUUUUUCCCACUGAAGUGCUUGCUAUAUCUUUACUGCAAUGUGUGUUUGCAUAACAGAUGAGUUAAUUAUGGUUGUGAAACCUUAUUGAUUGUGCUCCAUUGAGCUUCAUCAUGAUGUGCUACGCGUGUUGCUGAAUAAGUCGAAAAGUCGAAAGGAGCUGGGUUAGUGGGUUCUGUUAAUAAGACAUGAUGUGCAGUCAUUUUUUGCUGCUUAGCAUCGUGUGGUAAAUGAUAUCUUAACUAGAGAGCUUCACAUUUCGCUGUUGCGUAGAUUCUGGAUAAUUUAAGAAUUCUGUAAAAUAAAUCGUGGUAUCCAUAGGUUGUGAAGAAACUUUAAUUAGCUAUGCUUUGCAAGAUACAUGAAAAAUAUCAGUAGGUUUUUCAAUGGCUCUGUCACAUGUAUGGUUCCAAGUUCACUGCAACUGCAAGUGAUUUGAUCUGUGCAGCUAUCAAAUGUUUCUUAAGCAUGAUUUCUCUUUUUUGUUGACUUUGUUUAGCUAGAGAGUUCCUCAUUUAGCUGUUGCAUAGAUUCUGCUGGUUGAUUAUAAGGUCAGGGUAUAAGGCAUGAUGGAUAAAAUGAGCUAGGGAUUUUGUUGCUGAACAGUCAUAAGACAUGAUGGAUAAACAUUUUUUGCUGGUUAGCAGCUUGUGAUACUGUUAUCUCAUAAGUCAUAUCUUAACUAGUGAGUUUCACAUUUCGCUGUUGUGUAGAUUCUGGAUAGACUAAGAUUCUGUUAAAUAAAUCUGGGUAUUUAUUGGUUGUGAAGCAACUUUUACGUUUUGUACGAUACAUUAGUAGGUUUUUAGCUGAAACAAAAGGCAUGUUUAUUUAUGCUCCAAUACGGCGUCCAGUCCCCCGCCGCCACCGCCUCCGUCGAACCGUCGCUGGCACAGGGAGGACUCCGCGGCGGACUCCGAGAACGCCGCUGCCUUCUCCCUCCCUCGUGCAGUUCUUGCCGUCCCCACCGAUUCGCCACCGCGACGCAGUCCACUCCGCUGGUCACGAUCUCCGUUGCCGUCGCGAUGCAAGUCUCCCCUCUAAAGGUACACAUGAUCCACUCCAGCGCCACUCCUCAAUCAGUCGCCCUGCUGCCAAAAACAUUUAGCUGCUAUUCAGUUUCACAACAGAAAAUGUUCACCUCUUUAUUAAUACAUUUAGUUGUUUUUUGGGAUCAAACUAAAAAAUUACUCCGUGGCAUGAGGCAUCUCGAGGCUUCAAUAGUUUACUUACCAUGUGUUUUGACAAGCAAUGGAGGUUUUUCGUCUAGCAAACCUUGAAAAUUUGGGUUUCAAGGUGGGUAGAAUUAUGCAUAAGCUUUCUGGCCAGUGUUACAUAUGAUGGUGGAAACUCAACAAAUUCUGGUGCGCUGAAGAAAGAACUAUACUGUACAACAUCCGUUGAGGAUGACCAAAUUAUUGAGAAACUAAUUACUUUUGUUUCUGUCAUUUAAAGCUACCUGAAAGAAACAGAACAUUACGCUUCAUACACUGCAAGAAAUCAUGUAGUACAUGGAGCAGAUGUUCUUGGGUAAUAUAUGUGUUCAUGGCUUUCAGGGUAAAGUAUUUUUUUUCUAAAAUUAACUACACUGCUGUGCUGCACAUACAUCAAUUACUGAAAUGGGAUUGAACAUCUUAAAUUUUUAUGUGUUACAUGUAAACAUGCCAUUACAUAAUCUGGUGGCUGCCACUGCCCUUUAGCUACAACAUAUAUUUGGACCAUUCAUACAUUUUAUUUCUGAAAGUGGUCCAGGUCCUCAAGGUUGUCUAAAGAUAUCGAAACUAAUUCGCAGACUAAUUCAAAGCCAAUAUUAUUUUCUUAAGAUCAUAGAUUUAGACUGCAUAUAUGUGAAUUGACGGCAACCAUUGAAUAAAUAUGGUCAAAUAUCUCAUGAACCCGCCCUUUUUCAGAAGGCAAAAUUUGCUACAGGACACUCAAAAAACGUGUAAUUAGCUGUGAGACACCACAAAAACGUGUAUUUGCUAUAGGACACCACAAAAACUGGUAAUUAGCUGUUGGACACCCGCGAGAUUAUUUUAUUAUAUCCGAAGAAAUUGGAGAGAGAAACAACUGUGGAACCGAGAGGAGGUAGAGAAUGGCGCCGGUGCUCCGGUGGCUGGGAGACGACGACGCCGGCGGCGGAGUAUGUUCCCGAGUGCGGCGCAACAAGGGAGGGUGGUAGUAGGUCGAGGGAGUGAGGGAAAUGGCCGGAACGGCGAGUGCAAGGCCGUUAACCGGGAGGAGAGAGAGGUUGGGGGAUGGUUCAAAGUGGUGGAAAAGUGAAAGGGGAAAUGGAUGAAAUGGGUUCUCCUCGGCGAGGCAAGGCUAAUGGUGAGAGGUUAUGGCCAGCGGGGCUCUGAGGAAUGAGAUCGACCGGUGGCUGGCUUGACACGGCAUGAGGAGAGAGAGAGAGAGAGCUUGGUUUUGUGUGGAGAAAAGUGGAGCUCUAUCCAUGGAUUGGUCGAUGACGGCGGCGCUCACACGUGGUGGCCGUGGUAUGGUUGGGCGGCGGAGGAGGAACGGCACGGCAAGGCAUCGACGCUUUGGACUGCGGCGACGGCGGCUCAAACCACGGCGACGAUAGUGGCCGCCUCCUGCUCGCGCUCCACGCCGCCGGCCUCGCGUUCCCUCCCCGACCGCGUCCGCCUCCGCGCCGUCGGCCGCUCUUGGCGCGCGGUCGCCAACCUCGCCGUCGACAACCUCGGCGGCGUCUGCUCCCUGCUUUUUUUUUGUGUGUGUGAUUUCAGGUGGAGGAAGAUGGAGCCAGGGGCAAUCUUGCCAUUUCGAAAAAAUUCUUGCCUCUUUUGAUCCGGAUAUUAUAAAAUAUUGUCUCCGGUGUCCUAUAGCCAAUUACAUAAUUUUUGUAGUGUUCAUUAGCCGUGUCUCGUUUUUACAGUGUCUCACGGCUAAUUACAUGUUUUUUAAGUGUCCUGUAGCAAAUUUUGCCCUUUCAGAAUCCCUUUUUGUGAAAAAUUGAAACCAGCUCAUUAUGGUAGUGCCCGAGUUGUGAAGAUACUGAUGAAAACAUUCAAACUGAAUUUGGUUGUUGCAUUUAGGAUGUCAUCGGUAUUUUCUUUUCAAUCUCUCUCGCUGAUUUGGUUUCAUUUCAUUUAGGUAGAUAUUGUGCUAAAUUUAUUCCAAAUCAAAAUUAUCCCUUCCCCAUCAGGAUUGUCAUGCUAUCUGCUCUCUCCAAGUGCAGCCCAAUCCAACUAUCGACGCAGGCCAAUAUCAACAAGGUCCUUACAUGCAAGUAAUAUGCGCUCACAUCCCUGCAAGUUUAUUCUGUUCAUUUAUACUCAAAUUAUGUAAUAAUCGAGUCCAUAUGCCUAUGAGAAAUAUAAUUUCCUUACUGAAAUUGAUGACUGGGUGUACAAAACAUGACUCACAUUUUGGGAUUUGAACAUAUAUUUCCUAUAUAUAUUAAGAAAUUGUGUAUUCUUACUUAGGGAUUUGAUCUGUUGGUUUGUUUAACAUUGCAGUACUCCCUUAUUGAUUCCUUCCUCGCUUCUGAACAAAAAGGACUCAGAGGUGAUACAUUGAGUGCGGCAAAUUUGGUUCUCUAUGUGUCUAUUCAUUUUCUAAGUAAGCUGUAAGUACUACCAGCAUUACUAUGUAGUCAUGCUACGCAUCAUCUGCACUACUGACCUCUAGGUGCUUGUUCAGGUGUUUGCAUAUUGUUUUAUAAUGCCAACUGAACCUAUCUGAAAUCGGUUCCUCUAGGUGCUUGUAUGCCCGUGCGUUCAUUGCACUAUUGUGCAGUUUGCUACCAAAUCAAUCUCAGAUUUUUCUAGCGAGCCCGGUUAAUGAAUUUGUCUAUGAUCAAGUGUAGCUUUAAUUUGUCAGAUAUGGUGACCUUUAAUUUGGAUUUAUUUAUGAUAUUUCCUUGACAACCUUUAUAAAGUUUAUCUACUUUCUUUUUAUCUAUCUGCAAAGUUAAACAGAUGGUUCCUUAAUUUGUAGUGAAUUCGGUUCCCCAUCUCUGGUCCUAUGGUCCAGAGAUUGACAUUUCUCUGUUUUAUGAGGAAUUCAAAAAAUGUUUUUGCUAAAUGCAUACUAGAACAGUACAACCAUAUAAAGGGGGAUCUGUGGUCGGCCUGGUGAGUGUGUACCUCGCGGCCAGGUACUAUCGCUAUCUACAAUUGCACAUACGUGUAUUAUCCGGAUUUUUUUUCUUCUCCAAAACCAACACAAUGCCCUUAGAUAUUAGUUCUCCAGAUCCAACAAAUUUGUGCUGCUCUUGUAUAGCUGGAUUUGGGACUUCAUUUGAUUUGGGGUUGAUAUGCGGUUAUGUUUUUUAAAUUUGAGUGGGAAUUUUUGUUUUGGUUUAAUCAGAGGAUGGAGGAUAAUAUGAUGUACCCAAUCAAGGACCAAGAAACCAUGCUGUGAGUUGGCCAAUCUCUGUUCUCCUGCAAUUACAUUUUCCUUUUUGCAGUAGAUCUUGCUUCCAAUUGAUUUUGCAGGGCAGUACCAAUGGACAUGAACAGGCAGCAGCAGGAUACAGUUUGCUCCAAGGAAAUUUUGCAGCACCAAAUCAGUAUUAUACUGGCUAGCAUCUCUUGUUUAUUUGCAUUCUGAUGUUUUUUUUUAUCCUGUGGGACAGAUUGAUCUGGGCUACGAUCGAAUGCCACAAUAUAUGUCAGGCAUGUAACACAGGGGAGUGCAGAAAUCCUGUUAUUUUCACUCAAUCUGGGUUACAGGAUUGAAAUUCAAGUAUACAAGAUUGCAUAUAACUGAAGGAUUGGAGUGGUCAAUGUCUAGCAUUCAAGCGUGCAAGACCUACUGAGCUGUGUCACCAUUGCAUUGCAUCUGAUCUAAGUUGGCGCUCUUGGUUUAAAUUGUUGAGUGGUGUCAAUGCUAAACUUUUAUGCCGAAUAAGAGUUAAGAAUCUUUUACCAACUUUUUACGCUGGGGCACUUCUUGGAUGCCCUAAUCUUAUAUUCGUUUAGUGCCUUGAAUGAAAACUAGAGCAAUGCUAGGCUUAGUUUGUUGCGUGAUGUAGUAGAUGGAGAUGUGUUUAUAGCACGGAAAUAAUAAAAUCAUUUUCCAUAUGUUCUCUAUUAA